CAAUAGCGUAUAUUAAAGUUGUUGCGGUUAAAAAGCUCGUAGUUGGAUUUCUGUUGUGGACGAUCGGUCCGCCCUCUGGGUGAGCAUCUGACUCGGCCGCGACAUCUUCUUGGGGAACGUUUCUGCACUUGACUGUGUGGAGCGGUAUCCAGGACUUUUACUUUGAGGAAAUUAGAGUGUUCAAAGCGGGCUUUCGCUUGAAUACAUUAGCAUGGAAUAAUAAGAUAGGACUUUGGUGCUAUUUUGUUGGUUGAGCCUAAAGUAAUGAUUAAUAGGGAUAGUUGGGGGCACCUGCAUUGCGUUGUCAGAGGUGAAAUUCUUGGAUUUACGCAAGACAAACAGCUGCGAAAGCGUCUGCCAAGGAUGUUUUCAUUGA
rnacentral:rRNA from 1 species